UUCUGCUAUAGAUUGAGAAUAGUGAA
rnacentral:piRNA from 1 species